UCCCUGGAGGUCUAGUGGUUAGGCCACGGCGCUCUCACCCCGUGGCCUGGGUUCGAUUCCUGGCCAGGGAA